AAUAUAUAAGAAGUUAAAAUACAUCUGAACUGCUUCCAACAGAGGUAGGUAUAUGGAUUUUUGAUUGACAUUGGAGUUAUUUCCCUUUGCAAAGCAUUGUGACUUACUUGUGCUUUUUCCCUUGAACUAAUCAACAUUUUAAUUUAGCUUAUAAAUUUAAUAUUAUCUAAGAUAGUUGAAUAAAUUAUACCAACUACUGAAGAAAAUAUUCAUAGGACUAUAAUAAUAAAAAGAAUCAAC
rnacentral:lncRNA from 1 species